rnacentral:rRNA from 1 species
UACGAAGGGGCUAGCGUUGUUCGGAAUUCCUGGGCGUAAAGCGUAUGCAGGCGGAUCGUUAAGUCGGGGGUGAAAUCCCGAGGCUCAACCUCGGAACUGCCUUCGAUACUGGCGACCUUCGAGUCCGGGAGAGGUGAGUGGAACUCCGAGUGUAGAGGUGAAAUUCGUAGAUAUUCGGAAGAACACCAGUGGCGAAGGCGGCUCACUGGCCCGGUACUGACGCUGAGAUACGAAAGCGUGGGGAGCAAACAGG